rnacentral:lncRNA from 1 species
GGGCAUACCAGGAGAGGCGGUCCCGUAGGUACGAGGGUCCUAGGCCGUAUAGGGCUUUAAAGGUUAAAACCAGCACCUUAAACCUGAUCCUGUACUCCACCAGGAGCCAGUGCAGCUGGUAUAGUACCGGAUGAAUGUGAUCUCGCAGCGAAGACCCCAUAAGGAGUCUCGCCGCGGCAUUCUGCACCCGCUGGAGUUUCUGGGUCAGUCUCAAGGGCUUUGCUAAGGUUGCAUUAUGCUGGAGAUGUGGUAAGGACAAUGUCUCCCUGAAACAUUGGUUUAUAGUCUCUUGGGCUUGCCAUUCAGAAGGCUGGUGGUUCAAAUCCACUUGACAGUGGUGAGCUCCCAUUGCUCUGUCCCAGCUUCUGCCAACCUAGCUGUUUGAAAGCAUACUAGUGCAAGCAGAUAAAGAGGUACCUCUGCGGCAGUAAGGUAAAGGGCGUUUCUGUGUGCUCUGGCUUCCGUCAUGGUGUUCAAUUGCUCCAGAAGCGGUUCAGUCAUUCUGGCCACAAGACCCAGAAAAGCUGACUGCAGACAAAAGCCAGCUCCCUCGCCCUGAAGCGAGAUGAGUGCCACACCCCAUAGUUGUCUUUGACUGGACCUAACUGUCCAGGGGUCCUUUACCUUUACCUUUUUAUAUACUUACAGUACUAGGUUUUGGGAGAAAAUGCUGGUUUGUAUAAUUGUGGCCGAUCAGAAGAAACUAAAAUUUGCAGCAGAGAAUAUUUUUUUGAACUAGAUACCUACUAUAUGCAAGUUAACGGGACAACGAAAAUGGUAGCUAAGUGACUGAUAUUGAUGAACUGGAAGAACAAAGACAUGAUCUCCUUUAAUCAGCGGAUUAAUAAUAUGAUAGCACUUGUAAUUUAUGGACAGACUGCUUACAGACGUAGACUCUGCUUGAAAAUAUGACAAUAUUUGGAACAAAUUAAUACAAAAUGUAGUAGGCUAAAGAUGUUUACAUUAGUAUUAUGAUAAUAAUAUCAUAUUUAUGGGUUAGGAUAUACAUAUAAGCCCCCCCUUUUUAAAAAACAACAACAUACAAGUUGUCUCAGGGGUGGCCUGGAAUUACCAAUUGAUGUGGCUCGCUAUUUGCUAACCUUACUCCGCCCCUUGACUCCACCUCGACAGUUAAAGCCUGUGUCUCCUCUAGGACAGUUGUCCCCAAAGUGAGCGACACCCCCCCGAAGGGUUUUGUUCCUGGGGAGCACUAAGAGGCAAAAGGGUGGCAGUGUAUACAACUCCCAGACUUUGAAAAGCUGAUACCACUUGAUCAAGUUCAUUGGUUUUGUCAUGAAUUAAUUAAACUAUGUAGAGUGGUACAUUGCGUUACAUAUGCUUCAGGUUACAUACGGUUCAGGUUACAUACGGUUCAGGUUACAGACUCCGCUAACCCAGAAAUAGUGUUUCAGGUUAAGAACUUUGCUUCAGGAUGAGAACAGAAAUCGUGCUCUGGCGGCGCGGAAGCAGCAGGAGGCCCCAUUAGCUAAAGUGGUGCUUCAGGUUAAGAACGGACCUCCGGAAUGAAUUAAGUACUUAACCCGAGGUACCACUGUAUAUUUAAUUGGAUUUUGAAUAAAUGUGCAACCGCUGCUGUUUGGAA